rnacentral:rRNA from 1 species
AUGCAUGUUGAUACUAUAAUGGAAUCUCGUGAUGCAACAUUUUUUGAGAACAUAUUUCCUAUGAAAGAUAUGCAUAGCAUUGCUAGAUUUUCUUCUGAGAUAAUUCCUGAAUCUAGUACAACUGAUGAAUAUUUCGAACAAUCACAUGAGGAAGUCCUUGAGAAGGAUAACAAUGAAGUUCCUAGAAGGAACAAGAGACAAAGGAUUGCAAAAUCCUUUGGUGAUGAUUUCAUUGUAUACCUUGUGGACGACACGCCCAAGACGAUUGCAGAAGCAUAUGCAUCUCCGGAUGUAGAUGAUUGGAAAGAAGCUGUUCAUAAUGAGAUGGACUCAAUUCUUUCUAAUGGAACUUGGGAACUAACUGAUAGACCAUAUGGUUGUAAACCUGUGGGCUGUAAGUGGGUGUUCAAAAAGAAGCUAAAGCCUGAUGGUACUAUUGAUAAGUACAAGGCGCAGCUAGUGGCCAAGGGCUACACUUAG